rnacentral:SRP_RNA from 1 species
UUCGAGGCAAGUGUGCACUUCGAACCGUGUCAGGGUCGGAAGGCAGCAGCACUAAGGGGAUCGUACAUUGUGCCUCACCCUA